rnacentral:rRNA from 1 species
UACGGAGGGGGCUAGCGUUGUUCGGAAUCACUGGGCGUAAAGCGCGCGUAGGCGGCUUGAAAAGUUGGAUGUGAAAUCCCGGGGCUCAACCCCGGAACUGCAUUCAAAACUUUCUGGCUAGAGACUUAGAGAGGUGGGCGGAAUUCCGAGUGUAGAGGUGAAAUUCGUAGAUAUUCGGAAGAACACCGGUUGCGAAGGCGGCUCACUGGCUAAGUUCUGACGCUGAGGUGCGAAAGCGUGGGGAGCAAACAGGAUUAGAUACCCCAGUAGU